UUGACCUCGAAUCAGGUAGGGAUACCCGCUGAACUUAAGCAUAUCAA
rnacentral:rRNA from 1 species